GGUCGAAGUGAACAGAAAUAAGUAGAUCAGCAUUUAAAACUAGCAGAGUGCAGGAAAAAGUGGUAACUUGAGAGCCAUCUAGGCAGGAACCCCUUAGGAAGGUCAGAAUUCAUAAAAAUCUGUAUGUGGGGUCGUAGGUAAAAAGCGUUGUCUUGUACACCAGGUAGGCAACCCAGGAGGGCUCUGAGCUUGACAUCUAACCAGGAAGACUAAGAGUGAGUGUUCAGGGGCCCCUGGCUGGCCUAGUCCAUAGAGCAUGCCGUACUUAAUCUUGGGGUUGUGAAUCUGGGGCCCACGUUGGGUGUAGAGAUUACUUAAAAAUGAAAAUGGAAGUGCUCAGAAGGGAAAUCAUAUUCAACUGGCCCCUGAGUUGCCCUCUGGUAGAUGAAUGUGUGUCCCGGAUGAACACCAAGAGUUCCCAGAAUUAAAACUACCGGCAAAGAGUGCACGGGUUUCGUGGCUUGCUGCAGAAAAGAGCUGCCUUCUUGGACGCGUAGUAUAGUAGGCCAGAGUGGGUGCAAGCAGCUAGGACUUAUGUGUGUUCUUAAAAGCAUUUCUAUGGUCUUAAGCAUGGAUGACUGUUGUGUUUUGUUACACUUUAUACUCCCCCCAAACCUAACGUGGGAAAGAUGGCAUAGUGGAAACGGUGUCUUAAAAGGAGAGCCACCAAUGGGGCGCCUGGGUGGCUUGUAGGUUAAGUGUCCAACUUCAGCUCAGGUCAUGAUCUCACGGUUUGUGAGUUCAAGCCCCGCGUCGGGCCCUCUGCUGACAGCUCAUAGCCUGGAGCCUGCUUCAGAUUCUGUGUGUGUGUGUGUGUGUCUCUCUUCUCCCCUCCUCACGCUCUAUGUCUCUCAAAAAUAAAUAAAUGUUAAAAAAAAAAGAAAAAAGAACCACCAACAGACUGAUGGGCUUGCCUUUUAAAAUUCUGCAACCAUGGAUAAACCAUCGAAUCAUGCUGUGACUCGUCUGUAUGAUAAAGUAACCAUGUCUGCCGAAUCAAGACGUCACAGCAUUGGACUGUGGAGAAAGUGGGAAAAUAAACAUAAAGGUGCUAACAGAAGUGCCAAGGGGGGGACACAAUCACGAUCAGUUGGACUCCUUGGGGAACACCCAACAGAAGUCAAGUUCCACUCAGCUAGAAAGGGGCUCAAUUUCAGGUCGUCCACAGAACCAAAGCCAGGAGGAAAAGGAUGCAUGUUAAAGGGGUGGUUUGCCCCUUUUUUCGAUAUUCCCACCCAAAUCCUGGUAAGGGGGCUUUCCCUCUCGUACCACUACCACCCUUUCUGAAUGUCAACAGCCCUGUCUUUGGUUCCAGGGAUCUUAGCCAUGUUCUCAGCCACUGAAAAUCGGGUUGUGGACACAGGGCCGUUUGAAUGGAACUGAGUGAAUUCUUGGGCCAUGGGCUAAAAAACCCAGAGAGUUCUCAGACAACCUUCAGUGAAUUCUUCCCCGUUCCAUAGGCCAAGGGCUCUAUCUGCACGUCUUCUGGGUAUAACCUACCUGUAGGCCCAGCUACAUAAUCCCUGGGGCCCAGAACAAAAUGAAACUGCAAAAUCCCUUGUCCAGAAAGUAGUGAGUGCUCUGGAGAGCAUGAAACCCUUCUGAGCAUGAGGCUCUGUGCGACUGUAGCCUGCAUGCCGGGAGGCCAGCGCUGCACACACCUUAUAAGCCAGUCAGGGCCGACAGGUGCAUUGAACGGAGCUCAGGGUUUGUGUCACUGAGGACUGUGCUCACUAAAACUCCUUCUCUUACUUCAGAGACACAGCGAGAUUAUGUUCCCCACUGGCUCAGGCUGUCGGGAACUGCCAUCACAGUCUCCUGUGUCAGACUUCACCCUACCUGCCAAUCCGCCACAUUCAAAGUCCUCUGGAGAGAAUUCUAUCACCUGGGGGACAGUGGAGCCACAAAAUGGAGGACAUGAUGCUUGAGUCCUCAUGUGGAAGGCUGCCUGCCAAAUACCACAGUGAACUCCAGGAUAAGUAAAAUUUCUAGUAUGUGAAGCCACUGAAAUUGUGGGGUUUUUAUUGGUAAACGCUGCCAUACCUAGACUGUACAUGUCAGGACAGGGCUAUGUUACAGUUACAUACAACACCAAAAUCUCAUUAUCUUAUAACAAAAAUGCAUUUCUUGUUUUCGAUAUACCAUCAAGAACACUAUACUCCGUGAACAGCUAUCUACUCAGGGAGUGAGGCUGAUAAAAGUUCCCUCCUGACUUCUGUUUCCGAGAUCACCACGGGGCUGGGAAAGAACGUGGUAAAUGAUACAUCAGCUUUGAAGGUUUGUGUGCAUACGUGACAUGUCACUUCUGCUUACGUUUCAAAGAAAUGGUCAUGCUUAUCUUUAAAAAGAGCAAAGAACUGCAAUCCUACUUUGUGCCACAAAAGGGAAAAUCCAGACACAUUGGCGAAUGAGAGCGAGGAUUACCGUGUGAAUCGACGUUGGUGCCUGGAAGAAGGGCACUGCCAUACAGACACUUAAAAUACGUCGUACAGAACAAGUCAUUGGGCAGCAGGCUGGUCAGCGGGACAGCCCUUCUGUACCCUGGUAACAUAUUUAGUAAAUCCGUCCCCAGUGGGACGUAGAAGGUAGACCAGGAGCCCAGUGAGACUCUAACCUAAUGGGAAGUAGAUGGAGGCAGUGACGCGUGUUAGAUACUGUUAUCUGCCUUUAGCAAGAUACCGUAAGUGACAGCUCAGGGGAGAACUACUUGGUUUUCUAGAAGACAUAGAAAGGUAUUAAGGAAUUCUGCCGAUCCAGGUCCUUUUAGGGUUAGAAAAGCGGACUGUCCCUAGACCCUCAGUAACAAGACUGGAAAGUAUUAAGUGACAAAGGUACUAAAAGAUCUCUGAUUUAAAAAAAGAAAUGACACAAUUUUUCCGCAAAGAUGAGAUUAAGGGUUCUAAGCUUAGUGUUUCAGAGAGCAGUCAGAUAGUCCUUAGUCGAGAGAGAGGGGCACACACGUGAGGAGGCAAAAAGAUACAUCAGACUUGAGAGUUUUAUACAGGAAGGAACUCGAGUGCGGAAUUUACAAUACGGGAACCAGAAGCACAUAUAGCAAAAAGGUCACCUUAUAAAGGUAAUUGUUAUUGUUAAGGAAACCAUGGGCAUGGAUAAAAAGAAGACUUUGAUCCUUAAAACAAGCAAUCCCUCCGAGUGUCCCUGCAGGAAGCCCAGAUAACUUAUCUUUCUGGUUUACAGGUUGCCGCUGGACCAUAAGGAGCCAUGUUUCAACAGGAUACAAAAGACCGUGUAUCACGUGGAGAUCUUAGAUCCUUUUCUCUAGUCAGGGCCUGCCCCAGAUGUGUUUCCAUUGACUCUUAGCCCCAUUCCAGGCAAGAUCAUUCAACACACAAGAGUGACUUUCCCUGGUUUCAGGGAGCAAGUUUCUUCUUGGUGUAAAAUUGCAAAUUCCGUAUUUUUUAGAUGUCUUUAGGGACUAUGGGUGCCAAGGUAAUACUUGCAAAAUGGGACUUGCAACUUGCUCUCUUAUCCUUUAAAUGUGUCUGGAGCUACCCUGCUGAGUAAAAGGAUGCUGCUAAUUUUGUGAUGUUCUAUUCUCAUAGCAACCGGCGGUGACGUCAGAGGGCUAUUUUAUCACAGAAGCUAUCCAAAAAAAGAAGGAGACAGUCCUGGCUUCCUUGCUCUUUAUGCAACAAUCAUUUCACAUCGAUAAAAAUGGAAACAGGAAAUAAAAGACUCUAAUAGCUUA